CAACCCCAUACCAGUUUGCGAACCAAAUGCCCCCUUAUUCUUUAGCCGCCGAAUUUCAUUCAUUACGCUCUUUCUCCCUCUUCCACCUUCGUCUUCUCUCACUGGAUGAUUGAUUACCAAUCUCACCAUAGAUUCUACUUUGUCACUCACUCUCAUUGACACUUCAAGUUUCUCACUCACUCACCCAAGUACCCGCUCAUCACCUACUCACCCUUGUCGGCGUUCAGGCCUAAUUUCAAUCAAUGUCUCACCGUUCCACGGUUCCACUACUUCCACUGAUCUAACGGCUAACCUACGUGCUCACCGCCACCUUCACUCACCGACUAUCACUCUUAAACCCAAGGGUUGUGGUUUAAUUUGAGGAGUUAAGCUGAGGAGAAACAAGGUAGUUUUUGAAAACGAAAUGGGGUGUCCUGUUCAGGUGGCGGCAGGUCUGUUAAGAUUGGUGGAGGAGUAUGGGGAGUAUGCUGUGAAAGUUUUCAAGCAGAACAUGGUUGUACAGCCCGUCUUAGCAAGUUCGUGGAGGUCCCCAAGGGCAGGAUAUGUGAAGAUUAAUUGUGAUGCUCAUAUGGACAGCGUGACUGGGCUUAGAGUGGUGAUUCGUGAUGAAUUUCGUUCAAUUCUUGCUGCUUCGGUGAGGAACAAACCUGCCUGCUCUGGCAGAAGCUGCAGCAUGCCGCUUCGGUAUGCAACUCGCUGUUCGUUUGGGCUAUAGCAAUGUGAUGGUGGAGAGCGAUUCGCUGGUGGUUGUCAAUGGGCUGAAGAAAAAGUUGCAGGGAUAUAAUCCUUUCUUUUUAUUACUUGAUGAUAUUAGUACUCUGUCUAGUGAAAUUAAUGCCUUUUCUGUUUCUCAUGUGAAAAGGUCGGGAAAUACUCUUGCUCACCCUAGAAGUUUCCUUUAGUAGCAAGUGGAAUCCUUUACUCAAGGUCAAUUGAACAUCUAUGAAAAGUUGCUUCAGUCUUCUAUCUCAAAGGUGCUGCUGCUGCUGCUGCUGCUUGUGUUUUUGUCGUUGCUGCUGCUCAUGCUGAUGGUACUGUUGCUGCAUACGUGCUGUUGUUGAUACUCGUGCUGUUGUUGUUGCUGCUGCAUACGUGUGGUUGAUGCUACUUGUGCUGUUACUGCCUACUUCGCCGUUUAUGUUGCUGCCUACUCAACACCAUAUCUAUUUCUGCCAAAUUGACACCAUUGCUGUUGUUGCCUUCUAUACUUCUUUGGCCGUUAGAACUCAGAAUUCGUAAUGUUGUUUGUUAAUAUCUGUAGUGGCUGUGCUCCUGUUGUAUCAUCUUAAGCUACUGAAAUGUCUAAUGUUGUCCAAUUGUAAUAUUUAUCUUUUUUAUGAAAGUGUACUCUGCCAUGCUAUUAAUAAUGGAAAUACAAUUUUUUCUAUAAUUAAAAAUAAGAUUUCAGUC